rnacentral:rRNA from 1 species
UGCAAGUCGAACGGUAACAGGAAGCAGCUUGCUGCUUCGCUGACGAGUGGCGGACGGGUGAGUAAUGUCUGGGAAACUGCCUGAUGGAGGGGGAUAACUACUGGAAACGGUAGCUAAUACCGCAUAACGUCGCAAGACCAAAGAGGGGGACCUUCGGGCCUCUUGCCAUCGGAUGUGCCCAGAUGGGAUUAGCUUGUUGGUGGGGUAACGGCUCACCAAGGCGACGAUCCCUAGCUGGUCUGAGAGGAUGACCAGCCACACUGGAACUGAGACACGGUCCAGACUCCUACGGGAGGCAGCAGUGGGGAAUAUUGCACAAUGGGCGCAAGCCUGAUGCAGCCAUGCCGCGUGUAUGAAGAAGGCCUUCGGGUUGUAAAGUGCUUUCAGCGGGGAGGAAGGGAGUAAAGUUAAUACCUUUGCUCAUUGACGUUACCCGCAGAAGAAGCACCGGCUAACUCCGUGCCAGCAGCCGCGGUAAUACGGAGGGUGCAAGCGUUAAUCGGAAUUACUGGGCGUA